rnacentral:lncRNA from 1 species
CUGUAUGUCUGUUCUGAAUUCGAAUCUGUGACUCAAGCAGGUUCGAAACUGCUGGCAAUAGUCCUGGGCGGACGCCAGCUUAUAGGACAGCCAAUGGAGACCGGUGGGAGACGUCCCCUGGCUCUCUUCUGAUUUAAAUUGCGAUCUGAGUUGCCGGAGCGCGUUUGCAAUCCGGGCAACAGCUGACUCUGACCCCGGUUCCCAGGCGCGCGCGUGCGGUCUGAGUUGCCCCGGUUCCCGGGCGCGCGCGUGCGGUCUGAGUUGCCCCGGUUCCCGGGCGCGCGCGUGCGGUCUGAGUUGCCCCGGUUCCCGGGCGCGCCCGCUUGCGGCCCCAGUCCCCAGGCUCCCGGCUUCCGGCGCCGCGCUUGCGGCCCCGGUCCCCGGACUCCCGCCUUCCGGCGCCGCGCUUGCGGCUCCGGUCCCCGGGCUCCCGGCUUCCGGCGCGGUUCCUGGGCGCGCACGCUUGCGGCCCCGGUCCCCGGGCUCCCGGCUUCCGGCGCCGCGCUUGCAGCCCCGGUCCCCAGGCUCCUGGCUUCCGGCGCGGAUUUCCUUUACAGGGAUUGUAACCCACAUUCCUUUACAGGAAGAGACACAGAAAGAAAUAGGACCCCCAGAUGACACAGGAAUCCCCAAGCUCCAGUACUGGCCAUUCUCCACCAGUGAUCUGUAUAACUAGAAGACUCAGAGUGCUCGGUUUUCAGACAACCCCAAAGAUUUACUGGCUUUACUGGAUAGUGUCAUGUUCACCCACCAGCCCACUUGAGAUGAUUGUCAGCAGCUCCUCCGAAUCUUGUUUACCAUGGAAGAGCGAGAGAGAAUACAG